UUUAAAGUGUUGCGUUUAGGGUCCCAGAAAAAAAGAAUUACAUAAUCCUAACGGACAGUUCUCUAAAGGAGAACGCUAAUUUGCUCAGAUCUCUCAAAGGCUGUCCCGUCACUGUGGUCCUAAAUAAGCAGAAUAGCCAAGAAAAGGGUGUUGAGGGUAUUAAAAAAGAGCCCCAAAACUUGCAUUUGAAUGGGGAUUUCCUUAGUCCCAAAAGUGGGCAGGAAGGUAACGUGAUCAAAAAAUUGAUCACCCCUUACAAACUCGUCAAUACCUAUCCAUCCCCUUCAACGAAUGGCCAUGACACGACUUCAUCACCUUCGUCACCUCUCCUCCUUAAUGUCGGAGGCGAUGCAAAGAUUGGAGGACGACCCACCACUACGAACCAUAUCAUAAAAUCUAUCGGUAGUUGUUUGGAUAAAACAGUUUUAAACGAUUUGCUAUGGUCUAACAAGAAGGAGGAAAACGUUAAAAAGCCUCAAAAUUAUGAUCUUGGGGUUAAUUCUCAAGUGUACGAAGAUUUCUUUGACGAGUACGAGAAAUGGACAAAACCCAGCGAUAUCGGUAAUAAUGGUUCUGAAGAUUAAGAGUGCAAAGGAAAGGGAAUCAAAACUUUUAUAAAUAUUUUUUUUUUUAAUAUAAAAUUUAUAUUUUUUUUAAAACCAUAAAAUAUUGGACGAUAAUCAUAAAUAAUAAUUAAAUUUUAUUCAGCAAUAUAUACUUUUUUUAAAAUUUCAUAUUAUAUAUAAAAAAUUAAUUAGAUCAAUCAUUUUA